GUCUACAUCAUACCACACUGAACAUGCCUGAUCUCUUCUGAUAUCAGAAGCUAAGCAGGGUCAAGGAUGCUUAGUAUUUGGAUGGAAGAAUUAGUGGGAAUACAGGAUGCUAUAAGCC
rnacentral:rRNA from 1 species